CAGCCGCCGCGGGAAAACGUAGGUGGCAAGCGUUGUCCGGAAUUAUUGGGCGUAAAGGGCUCGCAGGCGGUUUCUUAAGUCUGAUGUGAAAGCCCCCGGCUCAACCGGGGAGGGUCAUUGGAAACUGGGAAACUUGAGUGCAGAAGAGGAGAGUGGAAUUCCACGUGUAGCGGUGAAAUGCGUGGAGAUGUGGAGGAACACCAGUGGCGAAGGCGACUCUCUGGUCUGUAACUGACGCUGAGGAGCGAAAGCGUGGGGAGCGAACAGGAUUAGAUACCCCAGUAGUCCCUGUCUCUUAUAC
rnacentral:rRNA from 1 species